rnacentral:sRNA from 1 species
GAGAUUGCUUCUCUGGUGAGGGAGCAGGUUGGUUAAUAAAGCAUUUAAACAAGAAUGAUGUGAUCUUCAUUGCUGGGAUCCUGCAGCUAGCUGUGUCUGUGGAGGGAGGAGGUGGUUAAUGGGCCUGGAAGGCGCCUCCAAUUGGUUGCAGCCCUGCUGUGGCUGGGAUAGGAUGCAGGGUCAGCUCCCUCCUCCUGACGCCUUCCACUGUCGGGGCUCCCUGGCCUGGCUCCUGUCGUCUCUCUGGGGUGGGGCGGUGGCGCUUCCCUCCGGCAAACACACUGCAUCCCUGUCCCAGAUCCGGAAGACUACGGCCAGCCAGGUGUACGAGACAUUGCUCACCUACAGUGACAUCGUGGGCGCGGACGUGCUGGACGAGGUGGUGACUGUGCUCAGUGACACCGCGUGGGACGCGGAGCUUGCAGUGGUGAGAAAGCAGCGCAACCGUCUGUGUGACCUCCUGGGCGUGCCCAGGCCCCAGCUGGUGCCCCAGCCUGGUGCCUGCUGAAGCCAGUCCUGGAGCCCAUACCGGAGCCCAUACCUCACCCUGCUUGGUGAGGAUGUCUUGUUCCUGAAGGAGGCCGGUGUGGAAAGCCUGGCACAGUGGUGCCUCCAGCUGUUGAAGGGUAGCGCUGGCCCUUGGAGGCUGGCACCAGCUGACAGCUUUUCCUCUCUGCACCUGUGCUCUAGUGACCUGGGGUGGAUGCCUCUGCCUUCACUUGAACACAAAUGUGCUUCCUAUAAAAUCAUGUACCAAGAA